AUUGAACGCUGGCGGAAUGCUUUACACAUGCAAGUCGAACGGUAACAGGUCUUCGGAUGCUGACGAGUGGCGAACGGGUGAGUAAUAUAUCGAAACGUGCCCAGUCGUGGGGGAUAACGUAGCGAAAGUUACGCUAAUACCGCAUACGAUCUACGGAUGAAAGCGGGGGAUCGCAAGACCUCGCGCGAUUGGAGCGGCCGAUAUCAGAUUAGGUAGUUGGUGGGGUAAAGGCUCACCAAGCCAACGAUCUGUAGCUGGUCUGAGAGGACGACCAGCCACACUGGAACUGAGACACGGUCCAGACUCCUACGGGAGGCAGCAGUGGGGAAUUUUGGACAAUGGACGCAAGUCUGAUCCAGCCAUUCCGCGUGCAGGAUGAAGGCCCUCGGGUUGUAAACUGCUUUUGUACGGAACGAAAAGGUCUCUCUUCAUACUGGGGGCUCAUGACGGUACCGUAAGAAUAAGCACCGGCUAACUACGUGCCAGCCGCCGCAGUAAUAC
rnacentral:rRNA from 1 species